rnacentral:rRNA from 1 species
UUCCGGUUGAUCCUGCCGGAGCAAUUGCUAUCGCGGUCCGAUUUAGCCAUGCUGAUCGCACGUUUUCAGACCGAUCUUGAAAAACUCAGUGACACGUGGCCAAACUACUCUGUGUAUCGGGACAACCUCGGGAAACUGAGGCUAAUCCGGAAUAGGGCUCACAGCCUGAAGUGGCGUGAGUCCGAAACGCUCCCGCGCCACAGGAUGUGGCUGCGAAUGAUUAGGUUGACGGUGGGGGAACGGCCCACCGUGCCCAUAAUCGGUACGGGUUGUGAGAGCAAGAGCCCGGAGACGGGAUCUGAGAACAGAUACCGGGCCCUACGGGGCGCAGGAGGCGUGAAACCUUUAACUGCGCGAGAUAUCUAAAGGGGACACCGAGUGCUACGGAUAUAGUCCUCGUUUUCUGUCUGUUGGGAGAGAAAGAAUAAGGGCUGCGCAAGUGGAGGCAGCCGCCGCGUAAUUCCUCAGUGGGGUGAUGCCCGAAAUUUAUUGCUCCUAAA